UCCUUCGCUCCUGAUUCUCAGCUUAGCAUGCAAACUUGAGAAGGAAAUACCCUUCAGAUAAAAUUCAUGCUGAAGUUGUAACAACUCCAAAACUACUCUAGUGACAGGGACAAAGGACUAAAAGCACAUCGGCUUUGUAAAAAGAGCAGAGUGAUACACCAAGGACGAUGAGAUAAAAUUGUGCAAGUGCCUGAAGAAGACAAUAAGGAAAAUACUUUUUUUCAUACAAACUUUUAAGUUAAUUGUGGAUGUGUAAAGCCAAAAUCAAAAUGUGAUCAUUCAGAUGCAGGAACCAGUUCAUUCAAGGAAUUGAACCUGAGAGAAGGUACUGGAGCUGCAAAAGGGACCUGAGUGCUCAAACCUGAAGUUCCAGUUCCACUACAAGCAGGCAACCCCUGUGUUCUUCCACUCCUAGGGGGGGAAAAAGGUUCAUCAUACCCAAGUAAACCCUGAGUCAGAAUGAGUUACAAGGCAAGGCCUGCAGAAAAGAUUCAAAAAUAAAACUUGAUCUGAUAAUUCGAGUAUUA
rnacentral:lncRNA from 1 species